rnacentral:rRNA from 1 species
UACGUAGGGUGCGAGCGUUGUCCGGAAUUAUUGGGCGUAAAGAGCUCGUAGGCGGCUCGGUAAGUCGGGUGUCAAAUCCUCAGGCUCAACCUGGGGCUCCACCCGAUACUGCUGUGGCUAGAGUCCGGUAGGGGAGCGUGGAAUUCCUGGUGUAGCGGUGAAAUGCGCAGAUAUCAGGAGGAACACCAGCGGCGAAGGCGGCGCCUCUGGGCCGGAACUGACGCUGAGGAAGCGAAAGCGUGGGUAGCAAACAGG